rnacentral:rRNA from 1 species
CCUACGGGUGGCAGCAGUGGGGAAUAUUGGGCAAUGGGCGCAAGCCUGACCCAGCAACGCCGCGUGAAGGAAGAAGGCUUUCGGGUUGUAAACUUCUUUUCUCAGGGACGAAGCAAGUGACGGUACAUGAGGAAUAAGCCACGGCGAACUACGUGCCAGCAGCCGCGGUAAUACGUAGGUGGCAAGCGUUAUCCGGAUUUACGGGGUGUAAAGGCAGUGUAGGCGGGAAAGCAAGUCAGAUGUGAAACCCAUGGGCUCAACCUGUGACCUGCAUUUGAAACUGUGUUUCUUGAGUGCUGGAGAGGCAGACGGAAUUCCUAGUGUAGCGGUGAAAUGCGUAGAUAUUAGGAGGAACACCAGUGGCGAAGGCGGCUUACUGGACUGUAACUGACGUUGAGGCUCGAAAGCGUGGGGAGCAAACAGGAUUAGAUACCCGUGUAGUC